rnacentral:rRNA from 1 species
GAUGAACGCUGGCGGCGUGCUUAAUACAUGCAAGUCGAGCGAACAGACGAGGAGCUUGCUCCUCUGACGUUAGCGGCGGACGGGUGAGUAACACGUGGAUAACCUACCUAUAAGAGUGGGAUAACUUAGGGAAACGGGAGGAAAUACCAGAUAAUAUAUUGAACCGCAUGGUUUAAUAGUGAAAGACGGUUUUGCUGUCACUUAUAGAUGGUUCCCCGCUGCAUUAGCUAGUUGGUAAGGUACCGGCUUACCAAGGCAACGAUGCGUAGCCGAGCUGAGAGGGUGAUCGGCCGGACUGGAACGGAGACACGGCCCAGAGGGCUACGGGAGGCGGCAGUAGGGACUCUGGCGGGAUGGGCGGGAGCCUAACGGAGCAACGCGGCAUGAGUGAUGAAGGUCUUCGGAUCGUAAAACUCUGUUAUUAGGGAAGAACAAGGGUUUAAGUAAGUAUGAACGUCUUGACGGUACCUGGUCAGAAAGCCACGGCUAACUACGUG